AGUGAACGCUGGCGGCAGGCCUAAUACAUGCAAGUCGAACGACAGCACAGUAAGCGUUCGCCCCUACGGGUGGCGAGUGGCGGACGGGUGAGGAAUACAUAGGAAACUAAUUUUACGUGGGGAUAAUGUAGGGAAACUUACUCUAAUACCGUAACAGAUCUACGGGCGAAAGCAGGGGAUGUUCGAACCUCGUGCGAUUGAUUGAGCCGGUGUCGGAUUAGCUAGUUGGAGGGGUAAAGGCCAACCAAGGCAACGAUCCGUAGCCGGUCUGAGAGGAUGAUCGGCCACACUGGAACUGAGACACGGUCCAGACUCCUACGGGAGGCAGCAGUAGGGAAUAUUGGGCAAUGGGCGCAAGCCUGACCCAGCCAUGCCGCGUGAGUGAAGAAGGCCUUCGGAUUGUAAAGCCCUUUUAUUAGGAAAGAAAAACAGCAGAAUUAUACCCCGCUGUUCUGACGGUACCCAAAGAGUAAGCACCGGCUAACUACGUG
rnacentral:rRNA from 1 species